AGAGUUUGAUCAUGGCUCAGGAUGAACGCUAGCGGCAGGCUUAAUACAUGCAAGUCGAGGGGCAGCAUGGGUGUAGCAAUACAUCUGAUGGCGACCGGCAAACGGGUGCGGAACACGUACAGAACCUUCCUUCGAGCGGGGAAUAGCCCAGAGAAAUUUGGAUUAAUACCCCAUAGCAUUAUGAAGUGGCAUCACUUUAUAAUUAAAGAUUUAUCACUUGAAGAUGGCUGUGCGGCUGAUUAGGUAGUUGGCGGGGUAACGGCCCACCAAGCCUGCGAUCAGUAACUGGUGUGAGAGCACGACCAGUCACACGGGCACUGAGACACGGGCCCGACUCCUACGGGAGGCAGCAGUAAGGAAUAUUGGUCAAUGGACGCAAGUCUGAACCAGCCAUGCCGCGUGGAGGAUGAAGGUCCUCUGGAUUGUAAACUUCUUUUAUCUGGGACGAAAAAAGAUCUUUCUAGAUCAACUGACGUACCAGAUAAUAGACC
rnacentral:rRNA from 1 species